CCUAAAGAUUCAUGUUUAUUGCUGUGCUUGAACUUGAUCACUACUGGGACAUCAGAUAAGGAUUUCAGAAAAGCCUUGACAAGAUGGGGACCAUAGUGAUGCUCACUUGGAUGAUGCUGUGCAGUACAUUGGCAUUGCCAGCUGUCUCAGUGAGUGCAUUCACUUCUGAGAGCAUGACCACAACUACCACAACUACCACAACUACCACAACAGGACCGACUACUA